GGAAUAUUGGACAAUGGGCGCAAGCCUGAUCCAGCCAUGCCGCGGGAGUGAAGAAGGCCUUAGGGUUGUAAAUCUCUUUCGGCGGGGACGAUAAUGACGGUAACCGCAGAAGAAGCCCCGGCUACCCCCGUGCCAGCCGCCGCGGUAAUACGGAGGGGGCUAGCGGUGUUCGGAAUUACUGGGCGUAAAGGGCACGUAGGCUGGCUGUUAAGUCGGGGGUGAAAUCCCGAGGCUCAACCUCGGAAUUGCCUUCGAUACUGACGGUCUUGAGUGCGGGAGAGGUGAGUGGAAUUCCCAGUGUAGAGGUGAAAUUCGUAGAUAUUGGGAAGAACACCAGUGGCGAAGGCGGCUCACUGGCCCGCAACUGACGCUGAGGUGCGAAAGCGUGGGGAGC
rnacentral:rRNA from 1 species